GACCUGGUGGCGAAAUACAUCGCGCCCGCCGUCCAUGAUGUGGUUACUGUGCCGUUGAAUUGCGGGAUGUCCUAGUUCGAGUCUAGGUCAGGUCG